ensembl:lncRNA
UGGUCUGCCAGAAUGGAGGCUACUACGACGAUAUCAAGUGCGUCUGCCCCUCUGACUUCUACGGCCCCUUGUGCGAGUUCUUCAGCGACUCCAUCACCACCGAGAUCCGUAAGUACGGCCUCCCCCCAUCCCACGGCCUCCACGCUCCUUGACCUCCCCCCUGGCCAACGGCCUCUGCCUGGCCUCGGCCCCCCAUGCUCACCCUCCUCCUGCCUCCCGCAGCCAUUGAGGGGACGAUUGUGGCCAAUGUGGAGCUGGUGGUGACUGUCACCAACGUCAUCUACACGGAGGAGCUGCAGGACCCCCGCUCGGAGGCCUAUGAGAACUUUGAGAAGCAAUUCCGGCAGGAGGUGAGGCCUGGGAGCACAAGGGGAGACUGGGCCCUGCGAGGGAAGGCUGGGAACCCGAGGGGAGGCUGGGAGCUCAAGGGGAGACCAGGGUGUGCAAGGGGAGUUUGGGAGCACAACAGGAGACCGGGAGCGAGAGGGGAGGCCGGGAGCGAGAGGGGAGGCCGGGAGUGAGAGGGGAGGCUGGGAGUGAGAGGGGAGGCCGGGCCCCGUGAGGGGAGGCCGGGCCGCACCGGACCCAUCCUCAUGGCGCCCCUUGCCCUGGCAGAUGGCCAAGAUCUACAGCUCCGUGCCCGGCUACGAGGGCGUGAAGAUCCUCCGCAUUGUGCCGGUGGCCUCCAGCAGGCGGGGAGCCCGGGUGCGCAGGGCCGGGGGAGACUCCAUGUCCUCCCCCGUGGGCACUGGCCUCAAUGUGGACCACGAGGUCAUCUUCAGAACCACCGCCAGCCCCAACCUGACCGAGGAGUUCCAGAACAAGACACAGGAGCUGGUGCAGAAGCUUCAGGAGACUGCCGACAGCCAGGGCGACUGCGAGAAUGACUCCUCCAUCGUCUGCUUCAAGGUGCCACCCAGUCCCAUCAUCAAGAACAUGACGAAGUCCCCUUCAUUUGACGCACUGUGCCAGCAGCGGGCGCCCGUCGGCUACCAGGACUACUACUACGCGCAGAACAUGAGCAACAUCAUCCGCUGCGUCACCAACUGCACGGCCAACACGCCCGGCACCAUCGACUGCCACCAUGGCGAGUGCCGCAUCACCCGCGCUGGGCCACAGUGCUUGUGAGUGCCACCACGUGUCCCUCUGUGCCCACCCCCCGGCACCCUGGGAGCACCGGCCUGACCUUUCCUUGUCCUUGCAGCUGCCGGGAUGAAUCGCUCUACUGGUACACGGGCACCCGGUGCUCUGGGCGUGUCAGCAAGGUGGCCACCGGGUUGGGGGUGGUGGUCACGGUGCUGCUCGUCACCUGCAUCACCCUUGCUGUGCUGCUGGUGAUACGGAAGAAGGGCAGGAAGAGGUAGAGGGGCAGGGAUGGUUGGGGCAGAUUGGAUUGGGUUGGUUGGGUUGGGCUGAGGUGAGUAGGUUGGGGUGGUUUGGUUUGGAUGGGUUGGGUUGGUUAGGUUGGGUUUAGUAGGGUUGGGUUUAGUGGGGUUGGAUGGUUUGGGGUCUUUUGGGUUGGUUGGGGUGGUUGGGUUGGAUGGGAUGGGAUGGGUUGGGUUGGGUUUAAUUGGGUUGGCUGGUUUGGGGUCUUCUGGGUUGGUUGGGUUGGGUUUAGUUGGGUUGGAUGGUCUGGGGUCUCUUUUGCUGGAUGGUUGAUGAUGGACUCACGGGCUGGUGGCAGAUACCUGGGCUUGGUUGGGGUAUAAAACGGGGUUGUUGGCGGACAGCUGGGCAGGCUUGGGGGGUGGGACAGCCCCCUCCUCUGUCCUUCUGCCCCCUCUGAGCCCCCUGGUGCUGCCCCCCAGGAACACUUCGGCCACUGUUGAGGAGAACUGGUAUGAGAACGAAGGCGGCACCUGGACGGCAUCUGAUGGCUUCGUCCUAAGCAACAGCAACGCCACCGACCCAGGUCGGGAGGGCUCCGGGGGGCAGGACUGGAGGGGGCGGUGGGACCACAGCUGCUCCCCCAGCCCCACCGCUCACCCUAUCGCCCCCCACCCAUGUCCCCAACAGGCGGCAGCCUACGGAGCUUCACGGUCUCGCUGGAACGGGUCAACACUGACAUCCCACUGGGUGCCUCCAAGACGAGUCCCCCCCCGGACCCACCCUCCACCCCUCAGUCCCC